AUUUCAUCUUCUUUUUCUUUUUUAGAAUCAGCUGAGGGGGGAAAAAAGAGGUGGCUCUCUGCUAGGGUUCGACCCUAGCCCCUUCAUGCCACCGCCGCCUAGAGCCGCCGCGCACGGCGCUCGAAACCAGUGCCCGAACCCAGGUACGUGGAAACGGCGCUAUGCGAAGCUACUGGUCGUGGGUGAAGCGACGUGGGCAGUUGCUGUGCGUUCGUGCGCUCGGAGGGCUGAACAUGGGCGAUGUGGAGGCUGCCGAACGUGGGGCAUGUGGCCCUGUAAUUGUGUUUAACUUGGCCCAAGUUUUUUUGGGUUCAAUUGUAUUUAAUUUGGGCUGUGUAAAUGAUUUUGGGUUGGUCUUAUUUUGAA